UGUGUACUCCCUCCGUUCCAAAAUACUUGACUUCCAUUUGUCCAAAAAUGGAUGUACCUAUAUACUAAGACAUGUCUAGAUACAUAUAUAUAUAUUUUGACAAAUAGAAGGCAUGUAUUGUGCAACGGAGGGAGUAGAAU
rnacentral:pre_miRNA from 1 species